rnacentral:rRNA from 1 species
AUUGAACGCUGGCGGCAGGCUUAACACAUGCAAGUCGAGCGGUAGCACAGGGGAGCUUGCUCCCUGGGUGACGAGCGGCGGACGGGUGAGUAAUGUCUGGGAAACUGCCUGAUGGAGGGGGAUAACUACUGGAAACGGUAGCUAAUACCGCAUAACGUCGCAAGACCAAAGAGGGGGACCUUCGGGCCGCUUGCCAUCAGAUGUGCCCAGAUGGGAUUAGCUAGUAGGUGGGGUAAUGGCUCACCUAGGCGACGAUCCCUAGCUGGUCUGAGAGGAUGACCAGCCACCCUGGAACUGCGACACGGUCCAGACUCCUACGGGAGGCAGCAGUGGGGAAUAUUGCACAAUGGGCGCAAGCCUGAUGCAGCCAUGCCGCGUGUGUGAAGAAGGCCUUCGGGUUGUAAAGCACUUUCAGCGAGGAGGAAGGUGGUGAGCUUAAUACGUUCAUCAAUUGACGUUACUCGCAGAAGAAGCACCGGCUAACUCCGUG